rnacentral:rRNA from 1 species
GCUGCGACGGGACAGGCGUCCGGGGUAGUAUGGAGGGGGGAAGCGGUGUUUGGGAUGAAGAGGCGUAAAGGGCGUGUCGGCGGAGCGGUAUGUUGGACGGGAGAUCCCCGGGCUCAACGCGGUGCGGUCGUUCAAAACUGCCGUGCUAGAGUGUGGGAGAGGGAAGUGGAAUUCCCGGUGUAGCUGUGAAAUGCGUAGAUAUCGGGAAGAACACCUGUGGCGAAGGCGGCUUCCUGGCCCGCAACUGACGCUGAGGCGCGAAAGCUAGGGGAGCAAACAGGAUUAGAUACCCGAGUAGUC